rnacentral:rRNA from 1 species
GAUGAACGCUAGCGAUAGGCUUAACACAUGCAAGUCGAGGGGCAUCACGAAUUAGCAAUAGUUUGGUGGCGACCGGCGCACGGGUGCGUAACACGUAUACAACCUACCUUCAAUUGGGGAAUAACCUGGAGAAAUUUGGACUAAUACCCCAUAGUAAACGGAAGAGGCAUCUUUUUUGUUUUAAAGAUUAUGAUUGGAGAUGGGUAUGCGUAGGAUUAGCUAGUUGGUAAGGUAACGGCUUACCAAGGCGACGAUCCUUAGGGGUUCUGAGAGGAAGGUCCCCCACACUGGUACUGAGACACGGACCAGACUCCUACGGGAGGCAGCAGUGAGGAAUAUUGGUCAAUGGUCGAGAGACUGAACCAGCCAAGUCGCGUGAAGGAAGACGGCUCUAUGAGUUGUAAACUUCUUUUGUACAGGAGUAAAGUGAGACACGUGUGUUUUAUUGCAAGUACUGUACGAAUAGCAUCGGCUAACUC